GACGAACGCUGGCGGCGUGCUUAACACAUGCAAGUCGAACGGAAAGGCCCUGCUUUUGUGGGGUGCUCGAGUGGCGAACGGGUGAGUAACACGUGAGUAACCUGCCCUUGACUUUGGGAUAACUUCAGGAAACUGGGGCUAAUACCGGAUAGGAGCUCCUGCUGCAUGGUGGGGGUUGGAAAGUUUCGGCGGUUGGGGAUGGACUCGCGGCUUAUCAGCUUGUUGGUGAGGUAGUGGCUUACCCAGGCUUUGACGGGUAGCCGGCCUGAGAGGGUGACCGGCCACAUUGGGACUGAGAUACGGCCCAGACUCCUACGGGAAGCAGCGGUGGGGAAUAUUGCACAAUGGGCGGAAGCCUGAUGCAGCAACGCCGCGUGCGGGAUGACGGCCUUCGGGUUGUAAACCGCUUUCGCCUGGGACGAAGCGUGAGUGACGGUAAUGAGUAAAGAAGCACCGGCUAACUA
rnacentral:rRNA from 1 species